rnacentral:rRNA from 1 species
GACGAACGCUGGCGGCGUGCUUAACACAUGCAAGUCGAGCGAUGAAGUUCCUUCGGGAACGGAUUAGCGGCGGACGGGUGAGUAACACGUGGGUAACCUGUCUCAUAGAGGGGAAUAGCCUUCCGAAAGGAAGAUUAAUACCGCAUAAGAUUGUAGUUUCGCAUGAAACAGCAAUUAAAGGAGUAAUCCGCUAUGAGAUGGACCCGCGUCGCAUUAGCUAGUUGGUGAGGUAACGGCUCACCAAGGCGACGAUGCGUAGCCGACCUGAGAGGGUGAUCGGCCACAUUGGGACUGAGACACGGCCCAGACUCCUACGGGAGGCAGCAGUGGGGAAUAUUGCACAAUGGGGGAAACCCUGAUGCAGCAACGCCGCGUGAGUGAUGACGGUCUUCGGAUUGUAAAGCUCUGUCUUCAGGGACGAUAAUGACGGUACCUGAGGAGGAAGCCACGGCUAACUACGUGCCAGCAGCCGCAGUAACAC